rnacentral:misc_RNA from 1 species
UCCGUAGAUGCCAUUUAUUGCGCAUGCGCGAAAAAGCGGCCUAUCCGCCAUCUGGCAAAACUGCUAUAACCUCAUUCUCUUUUUCACGUUCUCCAGUUCGUGAAAAUGGGUAUCGACAUUAAUCAUAAGCAUGACAGGAAGGUGCGGCGAACGGAACCCAAGUCUCAAGAUGUUUACUUACGUCUUCUUGUUAAAUUAUAUCGGUUCUUAGCGAGAAGGACGAACUCAAAGUUUAACCGUAUUAUUCUGAAACGGCUGUUCAUGAGCAAAAUUCAUCUGCCACCAAUUUCACUAGCUCGCAUUGUGCGAUUCAUGAAGAAACCUGGACGGGAAAAUUGCAUCGCUGUGAUCGUUGGCACUGUUACUGAUGACUCUAGGAUUUUUGAGAUCCCAAAAUUGACGAUAUGCGCGUUGCGCGUGACCGAGAAAGCUCGGGGACGGAUUUUAAAGGCCGGUGGCGAGAUCAUUACGUUCGAUCAGCUGGCAUUGCGCGCGCCAACUGGUAAACGCACCGUCUUGAUGCAAGGCCCACGUAAGGCUCGCGAGAGCGUCAAACACUUUGGCCUGGCACCAGGUGUACCGCACUCUCACACGAAACCAUACGUACGUUCUAAAGGACGGAAGUUUGAACGAGCAAGAGGUCGCAGACGCAGCUGUGGCUAUAAGAAAUAAGAACCAUCGCAUGCUUCGAGGGACAUUCGACGUACUCGCGAUUAUCUUUCCACGUAAUUUUGGAUACUGACCAUACCUGUGCAAGGACCACUCCAAUCCGAGUACACGUCUACCACUAAUAAUUAAAAAUACAAUAUCAUGCAGCUUUAA